UUUCCCAGUCACGAUAUCCGACACAGGUAGAUGAGGCGAGAAGCCUAAGGUGUAUGGAUGAACUGUAGUUAAGGAACUCUGCAAAUUAGUACUGUAACUUCGGGAUAAAGUAUGCCCUUGAGCGUGAAGUCACUUGCUGACGUAGCGUUUGAGGGUCGCAGUGAAAUGGGGGUAGCGACUGUUUACCAAAAACACAGGUCUAUGCAAACACGUAAGUGGAAGUAUAUGGGCUGACGCCUGCCCGGUGCUGGAAGGUUAAGAGGUGAGGUUAGCCGCAAGGCGAAGCUUUAAAUUGAAGCCCCAGUAAACGGCGGCCGUAACUAUAACGGUCCUAAGGUAGCGAAAUUCCUUGUCGGGUAAGUUCCGACCUGCACGAAUGGCGUAACGACUUCCCCACUGUCUCAACUAUAGAUCCAGCGAAAUUGGUGAGCGCGUGAAGAAACGCGCUACCCGCGGAAGGACGAAAAGACCCCGUGAACCUUUACUGUAACUUGGCAUUGGGUUUCGAUUAACCAUGCGUAGGAUAGGUGGGAGUUUUUGAUCCGUGCGUUCCGGCGUACGGGGAGACAACCUUGAAAUACCACCCUUGGUUAAUUGGAAUCCUAACCUGUCGUCAUAAUCUGGCGAGGGGACAAUGUCUGGUGGGCAGUUUGACUGGGGCGGUCGCCUCCUAAAGAGUAACGGAGGCGCACGAAGGUUCCCUCAGCCUGAAUGGAAACCAGGCGUAGAGUGUAAACGCAUAAGGGAGCUUGACUGCGAGACAAACACGUCGAGCAGGUGCGAAAGCAGGUGUUAGUGAUCCGGUGGUUCCGAGUGGAAGGGCCAUCGCUCAACGGAUAAAAGGUACUCCGGGGAUAACAGGCUGAUUUCCUCCAAGAGUUCACAUCGACGAGGAAGUUUGGCACCUCGAUGUCGGCUCAUCGCAUCCUGGGGCUGGAGCAGGUCCCAAGGGUUUGACUGUUCGUCAAUUAAAGCGGUACGCGAGCUGGGUUCAAAACGUCGUGAGACAGUUUGGUCUCUAUCCUCCGUGGGCGUAAGAUAUUUGAGAGGAGCUGUCCUUAGUACGAGAGGACCGGGAUGGACAAACCUCUGGUGUACCGGUUGUGGUGCCAACUGCAUCGCCGGGUAGCUAAGUUUGGACGGGAUAACCACUGAAAGCAUCUAAGUGGGAAGCCCACCUCAAGAUGAGAUCUGCCGGGGCCUCGAUCCCCCUAAAGAGU
rnacentral:rRNA from 1 species